AAUACAUGCAAGUCGAACGCUUCUUUCCUCCCGAGUGCUUGCACUCAAUUGGAAAGAGGAGUGGCGGACGGGUGAGUAACACGUGGGUAACCUACCCAUCAGAGGGGGAUAACACUUGGAAACAGGUGCUAAUACCGCAUAACAGUUUAUGCCGCAUGGCAUAAGAGUGAAAGGCGCUUUCGGGUGUCGCUGAUGGAUGGACCCGCGGUGCAUUAGCUAGUUGGUGAGGUAACGGCUCACCAAGGCCGCGAUGCAUAGCCGACCUGAGAGGGUGAUCGGCCACACUGGGACUGAGACACGGCCCAGACUCCUACGGGAGGCAGCAGUAGGGAAUCUUCGGCAAUGGACGAAAGUCUGACCGAGCAACGCCGCGUGAGUGAAGAAGGUUUUCGGAUCGUAAAACUCUGUUGUUAGAGAAGAACAAGGACGUUAGUAACUGAACGUCCCCUGACGGUAUCUAACCAGAAAGCCACGGCUAACUACGUGCCA
rnacentral:rRNA from 1 species